UUUCCGUAGGUGAACCUGCGGAAGGAUCAUUACUGAGUGAGGGCCCCUCGGGGUCCAACCUCCCACCCGUGUUUAACGAACCUUGUUGCUUCGGCGGGCCCGCCUCACGGCCGCCGGGGGGCAUCUGCCCCCCGGCCCGCGCCCGCCGAAGCCACCUGUGAACGCUGUCUGAAGUAUGCAGUCUGAGACAAUUAUUAAAUUAAUUAAAACUUUCAACAACGGAUCUCUUGGUUCCG
rnacentral:misc_RNA from 1 species